rnacentral:hammerhead_ribozyme from 1 species
ACCCAGCUGAAGAGUCCUUAAUAGGACGAAACGCGUGUCUGGAAU